rnacentral:tRNA from 1 species
CCCGGGUUCAAGUCCCUCUAUCCCCA